UACGUAGGGUCCAAGCGUUGUCCGGAUUUAUUGGGCGUAAAGAGCUCGUAGGCGGCUCAGUAAGUCGGAUGUGAAAACUCGGGGCUCAACCCCGAGACGCCAUCCGAUACUGCUGUGGCUUGAGUCUGGUAGGGGAACACGGAAUUCCUGGUGUAGCGGUGAAAUGCGCAGAUAUCAGGAGGAACACCGAUGGCGAAGGCAGUGUUCUGGGCCAGUACUGACGCUGAUGCGCGAAAGCCAGGGGAGCAAACGGG
rnacentral:rRNA from 1 species